UCACACUGCAGAGCGGAGGAACGAGAAAGGAUGAGAAAAGGCAAAGAAGGCGGAAAAAAAAGAAACACUGCAGCCAAGCGAAGAGCCAGAGAGUGUGGGAAGGCGGUGCCGGAGACGCCAGUAUUUAUAGACCACCUUGGGAAAGACAGCAAACUGGGAAGAAUGCAUGUAGGCUCUGGCCCAGGCAGACCUGGGGUGAAUCCCAGUGUUCAGUGCUGCUUCUCAGCGGCUGAUGAACCCCAGAUGCUUCAAAACCCAAGAAAGUGUAAGAGGACGGUGAAGUGUUCCUCUCACCUGUCCUCCAUCCACUCGAUUCUACCACGAAAGGCCUGUGGUUGCUAUCGGUGAACCGAUGUCUGCUCGGAUGCCCAAUGGCUUCUCGCAUGUGGCUGCAUUCCUCUCUGUGUCUCAUCUCUGUGAGCCCUGGGUCUGUGUGAUAGCGCGGUCCCUGAAGAGCAUGUCUCGAAAGGAGGCUGGGACGUGAGAAGACAUAACCCGCAAGGAGUGGAACCCCGUCAUAAACAGAAUGGAGCGCUCCAUCCACCCGUCCGUCCACUCAGCAAACGGUCGGCAGCUGCUCUCCGCCAGGCACUCUGCCCGGGGGUGGGAUCGCGCAGCAAUGACAGGCCUUCACAUUCUGCAGAGAGCGAGGCAGAAAAUUAACAAACACACGAGAGAAUAUCAGAUUUUAAAGUAACCGCUACACCCAAUGUGAGGCUUGAACUUACAACCCUGAAUCAAGAGACACCUACUCUACCGACUGACCCAGCCAGGUGCUCCAAUAAUGGAUAACUUUUUUAACAGCCACCCGUGAGGAUACAUGCCUAUGCCUGGAAAGCGUUACAGCAUCGUGUGGCCAAGCCACAGAGGUGGCAGUUACGUGACCGUCUGAUGGACCACUAUUGACCAGGGAGCGCUGUCAGGGAGCCUUCUGGACAGUCAGCUGACAUAGACCCAGGGCCAUGGGCCGGGAGUGGGGCUUAGGCCAGGAGGCCUGAGAAAAGUGGGACAUCUCCAGGGUAGAUGCUGAGUUCAGCAACAACAACACGUACCACCUAGGCAGUCUGGCUCAUCACCAUGAGCAGCAGGAAGCUGCAGCUGCAAAAACGAACUUUUCUAGUUCGUAGUGAAAGGGGGGGAGCACUUGCGUCAUUGAACAUCAAAUAUAUCACAAACACGAGAGCUUAAUGGGGCCAGUGUGAUACUCAGGAAGAGGCAAUAAAAAUUGGUAAGGAGGUAAGCAGAAGCAGAUAAACUAUUCCCUGUUGCGGAGGAACAGGAAUUCAUGAAAGAAUUCACUGGGUAUAAACUCUCAUUUCUGCUUGAGAAAGCCGCGCAUUAUGUUGUGUAGUUUGUAUUUAGGAGUGUUUUAAAAAUUAUGUUUAUUUCCUUUUGUCGUUUUCCGGAGACCUGAGUUAAAGAACCCCAUGAGAUAGGGUAUCUAUGAGCAUGACCGAAAUGGCUGAGUUGUGGCCCAGAGAUGCCGAGCAUUGGCCGUUUAGAGCUCUUUUCAAGACUGUCUUGAGAAUUUAUUGACCAGUCACCUUCCUCCCAGUCUCUCUGUCCUCUGGCAAUUCCUGCAUACUGCCGCUAGAAUUUAGAGGUAAAUCCUGGAUGGUUUAGAUUGCUAUCAAUUGCGUAAAAGAGAAAGUUGCAAAAGUUCAAUGCCUUUUGUAAUCUCUUUCCAAACGGCUUUCCAAAUUCGUUCAAGAUCUGUUUCUCCCAGUACAGGCUACAUCUAUCUCGCCUUUGUGGAUUUUCUGGUUCAGACCGUGCAAGGUUCUCUGGUUCCAUCUCUUUUCCAGACCCUAACUCACACUCUUCAGGACAAUAGCCAAUUGAUCACCAGACAUUUUUGGACCUCCACACCUUAGAACGUGCUGUUCCUUCCAUCUGUCCUCCAGUGGUAUGCUGGAGCUGGCUCUUGUCGGCUCAGGCACAUCUCUGGUCCCAACCCUGCUCAGUGGCAUCCUGUUGGUACCCUGAAAUCUGCCACAGUAGGAGAAUGUACGCCGUGGAAAUUAGCAAAUCCUACUCGUCAGGGCUUCCCCCCUCCCCCCACCGCCCUUGGAGUUCCGGUUGUUAAACAUUCACUAGCACACUGCCGUCACCUCCUGCUCUCUGCCUGGAAGAUUCCUACUUAUUCUCCAAGACAGAGUGCUUCUCUGUGAAGCUUUAUUUGACUCCCACAGAGAAACAGGGAGAAGACAGCAACCCCUCUGGGCUGAGCCUCUGGGCUGGGUGCUUUACCUACAUAAUUGUCAUGUCUUUACUAAAGCAGUUGUAUCGUAUUAUAAUUAUUGGUGAUUGCCUCCUUGAUAAGUGCUAAGUGUAAGGAUUGCAGUCUAUAUUGAUCUGUAAAAUUCCAGGGACCUUGAAAGUAUCUUUUAUAAAUAGUGAGUUCUUAGUGAAUGUCAAGUAUUUAAUUAAGCAAACACUGGGAGGAAAAAUUGGAUUGCUUUGUUUCUUCUGUCUCUGUUCUGCCAAAGAGUACCCCCCACCCCCCACACCACAAUCAAAGCUGAAUAUUUGACCAAUGUCUUCUGCUGGGUGACUUUUUUAAAUUUACAAUAAACAAAUUUAUACAAAGGUAUCACUAAGUAUAAUACUUGUGGCAUGUUUACAAAUGUAGAAGGGGCUGUAGGAACUGGUAUAUAAAGAUGGAAAUUUUAGGGGCACCUGGCUGGCUCAGACAGAGCAUGUGACUCUUGAU